rnacentral:rRNA from 1 species
GACGAACGCUGGCGGCGUGCUUAACACAGGCCAGUCGAACGGAAAGGCCCUGCUUUUGUGGGGUGCUCGAGUGGCGAACGGGUGAGUAACACGUGAGUAACCUGCCCUUGACUUUGGGAUAACUUCAGGAAACUGGGGCUAAUACCGGAUAGGAGCUCCUGCUGCAUGGUGGGGGUUGGAAAGUUUCGGCGGUUGGGGAUGGACUCGCGGCUUAUCAGCUUGUUGGUGGGGUAGUGGCUUACCAAGGCUUUGACGGGUAGCCGGCCUGAGAGGGUGACCGGCCACAUUGGGACUGAGAUACGGCCCAGACUCCUACGGGAGGCAGCAGUGGGGAAUAUUGCACAAUGGGCGGAAGCCUGAUGCAGCAACGCCGCGUGCGGGAUGACGGCCUUCGGGUUGUAAACCGCUUUCGCCUGUGACGAAGCGUGAGUGACGGUAAUGGGUAAAGAAGCACCGGCUAACUACGUG